GGGGAGCGGGCUGAGAGACGCGGAGUGAAAGGGAGGGGCAGGCUGAGAGGCACAGAGUGAAGAGGUGAGGCACAGAAUGAAGGGUGAGUGGCUGAAAGGCACAUACUGAAGAGGGAGCAGGCUGAGAGGCACAGAGUGAAGUGGGCAGGCUGAGAGACAUAGAGUGAAAGGACCAGGCUGAGAGACACAGAGUAAAGGGGGGAGGCUGAGAGACACAGAGUGAAGAAGGAGCAGGCUAAGAGAUACAGAGUGAAGGAGGGCAGGCUGAGAGAUACAGAGUGAAGGGGGUAGGCUGAGAGACACACAGUGAAGAGGGCAGGCUGAGAGACACAGAGUGAAGGGGGCAGGAUGAGAGACACAGAGUGAAGAAGAACCAGGCUAAGAGAUACAGAGUGAAGGGGGCAGGCUGAGAGACACAGACUGAAGGGGGGCAUGCAGAGAGACACAAAGUGAAGGGGGAGCACUCUGAGGAGCUCAGAGUGAAGGGGGCAGACUGAGGGUCUCAGAGUGAAGGGGGCAGGCUGAGAGACACAGACUGAAGGGGGAGCAGACUGAGAGACACAGAGUGAAGGGUCGGAGGCUGAGAGGCACAGAGUGAAAGGGGGAGACUGUCUUUUUUCAGUAUAUUUUAUGUGGAUCUGGAUUGUUUCAGUGUUUCUCAUCCCCAGUAUGACUAAAAACAGGGGUGUGACACAUGGUCAUGAUCCUACAAUCAUCAUACUGAAGGCGGGUGCACAAAAAUGGGGCGUAACCUUGUGCCAUUUAGGCCGCGCCCCAUUUUGGCUCUUUAGCUUUACUACAGAUAUUUUUGGGGUCUUUGCCUCUGACUGGUUUGCCGUCCCUGAUCUAGACAGUGUAACAUAACGUUAUGAUAAUGUAGAAACAUUAAUUGUUGGUAGAAAAAAACAAAACUUUUGGCAAUUAAAAUGGGCAAUAAUGUGGUAUAUAAUCACUGCAGCUUUUAACUUCCUGAAAAUGUAUCAUUAGUUAGAUCACCUAUAGUAAAAUAAAAUAAGAGAUCCCCUAUAAUAUACUGAAAAAAUUAAAAUGGUAGUAUGUAUUGGAUAAUCAGUGAUACAGUAUAUAGCCUCUUUUUAUGGGCUACAAUAGCCAGGCACUAGGACCUAGUGGCUCUCCACGGAAGUGUGACCUCCGACUUAGCAUUCUGCACAUGUGCGGCACCCCAUCCAGUAUAUCAGACGUGUCCCUGAGUGUUCUCCAAAUGAAGGAUUUAUAUACCAUAGUGACUACUGUAUAUCCACUGUGCCACUACUCAACAUUAUAAUAACUAUUCCUGCUGCCACGACUGAUUACAGCUCCAUACUGUGAGUGCAAAUACCCAGUGCACCACAACACCCAGCAAAUCUUACAAACACUCCUGGCUGCAACUGGGCAACAAAGAUAACAUGUACCUGCUGUUAACCCUGUGUUACCUGUUACUGUUUCCACCUAAUUAAUAAACUUGGUUAAGUCAUCUGCCGGACUAACCUCCAUUUGUACAUUGGUGCCACCUACCAGCGUAGUGUCAUUUCAGGGAUUGGGGUUAAUUUUUUAUCUCUUAUACAUCAAUCAGUGUAAAUAAGCUAAGAAAUAAAUGGGAAAUAGCUAUAGUAUGUGACAUGAUUUGAUUAUAUAUAAACAUAUUUUCCAAAGGUCUCUUAUGUCUACAUUAUGUAUCAUUAAGUAUUCCAAUGAAAGACCUAGGCAAUUCUGGCAACUAUCGAAAACAUAAAAUUGUAUGUAAAUGUAAGCAUGUUGCAAAAGAUUGGCAGGGUAGUUAUCUAUCCUGGACUGAACCCAAGGUCCAUAUAAACAGAAUAUUAAAAAUGCAAUAUGUAUCCAGUUUAUAACUAGGCACUCAUAGCGGGAUCAGUAUGAAUACCUACAAUCAAAAUCCAGACUGUCAAAAUCCGGACAACAAUUGACCGAUGGUCAAAAUCCCGACACGGUAAAAAUACUGACAUGAUCACAAUAUCAACAUUUAAAAUAUCAACAGAUCAAAAAGGCCGCAAGAGUUUUUCAUUGUUUUUCGGUGUGUAUGUCGACAUAGGUUGACAUGGACACCGUAUAAGUGUACCGUGUCCCCUCGCAUGGCUUGCUGUGCUCGCCAUGCUUUCAGCGCAGUGCCUCACUGCGCACGGCACACUACUAUAUUCCCCCUCCAGGUCCACUGGGAUGGUAAAGUAUGAACUAGUCGGUUUCAAUUAAAGAAAAGAUCAUGAAAAACUCAUGUCGACUUUUUGACCUGUGGACAUUUUAAAUGUCGGUAUUUUGACCUAGUCGGGAUUUUGAUCAUCGGUAAAUGGUUGUCGGGAUUUUGAUUGUAGGUAAAUUGACUGCAUCCCCUCAUAGCAUGUAGGUAUAACAACCAUAAUGAGGCACGAUAUAUAGAAUAUAAUGAUGUUAACAUUAGUCAGAUGUAGUUGUUUAUCACACACUUCGCCCCCUAUUUUUUCUCUUUAUAAACCAUAUAUUAUUAAGUAUGCAAACCCUCAUGUUUGACUAAUUAAGCUUGUAUGAUGUAUUUUAGCUUUUAUUAGUUAUUUAUAACUGAAAAAAUAGUAACUUUUGUGUGUAAAUAAAGAACCUGCUGAAAACUGACAAAUCUUUUACAUGGCAAACUGACAAUGUGUUCCUUUAUUUCUCUCAGUUGAAGCACAGCGUAAAGUAAAAAAAGCAUAUUAUAAAAAAAAUAAAAAAAAUCAGUUAAUUGAAAAGAUUUUAGUAGUGAGGGGAUAGAGACACGGAAACCUAGGAGAGCAGUGUUUAGACACGAUUUGUACUGCGGAGGUUGAGCCAAGUGGAUGCAGCUAGUUUUUAUCAGUACACAACUAGAACUCCACAUGAUUUUACUUCUAGAUUUUCCAAAACUAAUACAAUAGGGAAGAUGUAUCAAACCUUUAAGAGAUAAAGUGGAGAAGUUGCCCAUAGCAACCGAUAAGCUGCUAGACAUUAUUGCUCCAGCACAGUCUAUGAAAUGACAGAUAAAAGAUAAUUGUUUUUUAUGGACACCUUCUCCACUUAAUGUCUCUCAAUGGUUUGAUACAUCUCCCCAAGUGGGUGUUAAAUACUUACAAAGUGUAAAUAUACAUUUACCAGCCAGAAGUUAGCUUUGACAGGUCUAUGGUAUGUUAGACAAUAAAACCAAAAGUUUGAUUUGUUACAUCCUUCACUUUGUUACUAUAUAACAGAGGUUCCCAAACGCAGCUCUUAAGGCACCCCAACGGUCCAGGUUUUAAAUGUAUCCAUGCUUGGCCACAGGUGACUUAGCACCUCAGUCAAUUUGAUUUAACUAUCUGUGCUGAGCCAUGGAUAUACCUAAAUCCUGGACUGUUGGGGUGCCUUGAGGACUGCGUUUGGGAACCCCUGCUAUAUAACACAGUCAGAAAUAAUAGACCAUACAAACUCUGUAUACAAUUUGUGUGAACACAGAUUGUAGAUUAGCACAGGUCUUGCACUUAGGUUAGAUUUCCAGUUACCAGAUAUGCUCUGAAAUAAGGUUGUUGCAUGAUUGACAUGCUGGGACCUCUCCCAGGUCCAGCCAUGUUAUAAUUCAAGCCUGCAGAUCUUACUGAUCCAUUCCCUCCGGUGCUAACCUCAUAUCACAUGGACACCACGCGUGUGAGGUGGUGCGCGUUAUCCCAUGUGUUCAGCCAGGAAGGCAGAAGAGUAUGCCUCUGCAGCUUCAGAUAGACUCACUAAGCCCGAGAACGCUGGCUAGACGGACCAGUGACGCGACACUUCCUGUGAGGGGAGUGACGUCAGAUCCGGCACCCGGGCGGCGCGACGGCUGGAGGCGUUUACACAGUCCCGCCUCGUAUGAAAAAGAAGACCAAAAUAGAGGUAGCUACAAAAGCCAUGACAAAUAUCCUGUGCGACCAACUACGCGAGAUGGAUUCAGAUUGGCAGAGUCAAGAGGAUGCAAAUUUGCAAAAAUUUAUGGACAAUGAAUGUGAACUGCAGAGGAAUUUGCUAACGCAAAUGGUAGCUAUGCAGGAUAAGAUCAGCAACGAGAACCGUGAAUUCCUAGGCCAGCUUUUUUCCAAAAUGACCUCUACACCACAAUUUACAAACACUCAUUCUGACCUACAAUCGCAUUCUCACACCACAUUUGGUCCAAAAACACGGUAUGCCCAGCAAGGCCAGUCUCCCCCAUCAUUUGGGCCUAUAUCCCAGUAUAUGCAACAAGCCCAGUCUCCCACCUCUUUUGGGGAUACUCGCCAGUAUAUGCAGCAAGCCCAGUCUCCCACCUCUUUUGGGGAUACUCACCAGUUUGC